CCUACGGGGGGCUGCAGUAGGGAAUCUUCCACAAUGGGCGCAAGCCUGAUGGAGCAACACCGCGUGAGUGAAGAAGGGUUUCGGCUCGUAAAGCUCUGUUGUUGGAGAAGAACGUGCGUGAGAGUAACUGUUCACGCAGUGACGGUAUCCAACCAGAAAGUCACGGCUAACUACGUGCCAGCAGCCGCGGUAAUACGGAGGUGGCAAGCGUUAACCGGAUUUAGUGGGCGUAAAGCGAGCGCAGGCGGUUGCUUAGGUCUGAUGUGAAAGCCUUCGGCUUAACCGAAGAAGUGCAUCGGAAACUGGGCAACUUGAGUGCAGAAGAGGACAGUGGAAUUCCAUGUGUAGCGGUGGAAUGCGUAGAUAUAUGGAAGAACACCAGUGGCCAAGGCGGCUCUCUGGUCUGAAACUGACGCUCAGGUUCGAAAGCAUGGGUAGCGAACAGGAUUAGAUACCCCGGUAGUC
rnacentral:rRNA from 1 species